UGAGGAAUAUUGGACAAUGGGCGAAAGCCUGAUCCAGCCAUGCCGCGUGUGUGAAGAAGGUCUUCGGAUUGUAAAGCACUUUAAGUUGGGAGGAAGGGCAUUAACCUAAUACGUUAGUGUUUUGACGUUACCGACAGAAUAAGCACCGGCUAACUCUGUGCCAGCAGCCGCGGUAAUACAGAGGGUGCAAGCGUUAAUCGGAAUUACUGGGCGUAAAGCGCGCGUAGGUGGUUUGUUAAGUUGGAUGUGAAAUCCCCGGGCUCAACCUGGGAACUGCAUUCAAAACUGACUGACUAGAGUAUGGUAGAGGGUGGUGGAAUUUCCUGUGUAGCGGUGAAAUGCGUAGAUAUAGGAAGGAACACCAGUGGCGAAGGCGGCCACCUGGACUAAUACUGACACUGAGGUGCGAAAGCGUGGGGAGCAAACA
rnacentral:rRNA from 1 species